UUCUAUGUCUUUUACAGUGGCUUUCUUUGUUCCUUUUUUAGGAGUAUUAUCUGAAGCUGAAAUAUUUUUUUUUUUAUUAUUAUACUAUCUAAACCGCAUAUAACAUAGAUCAUUGUUACGUAGAAAGUUCACUGUAGUUAUGGGAUAAGUAAUAUGAUUUAAAAUUCUAUAAAUUUUAAAAAUACAUCAGGCACAGAAUUAGGUUUCAAUGCAAUGAAUGAUUUAAGUUAUUAUAGUUUAUUUUAAAUUAUGUUUAUAAGUUUGUUUUUAAUUAUUUCUCUACAUUCACAUAAAGUUACAUGACAUAAGAAACAAAGUAUGUAUUGUGCUUUGAUCCUCAUUAUCUGACACUAGGACAUGCUAAUAUUAGAUUUUUUUUUUCAAUCAGUAUUUAAAUACUCGAAUAUUAUUCUCAAUAAUCCAAAACAAAAAUAAAAGUAACAAAUAGGUAAUUCCUUUAUCAAUAGAGUAUUUUCUUAUAUGGGGGAACUCCAUGGAUAAUGUUACAAAAUUAUUUAGAGUUUAAGCGUGUUCUGAUAAAUAGCAAGAAUCUUGUUAACUCAGCAAUCGAGUGAAUGGGAAAAUAAGAUAGAAGCAAUGAAAUUUUUUCUUCAUCAGAAAGAUAAAUAAAGAUAAUAGUGCAGUGAUCACACUAGAUACAUUAAAAAUGUCAAUGUGUCAAGAGCUUAAGCUAUAAGAGAGUACUUGUUACCCAGAAAACAUUUUAGGUUAUUUCUGAAGGAGAGUUAGUUAUUGUUUUAUUGAGGAGACUUAAAUGAUCUUUCUAUCCAUAUGCCUUUGACAUAACUAAGAUUUCUUCAUUGUAAAAAAAAAUCAUAAGAAAUUUACAUGCUCAACAUUUACUCAAAUUAAUUUUGAAAUACAAAAAUAGUAAAGGACAUCUAUGUCAGUUCUUUCAAAGAAUGGGUAUUUGUGUGUAACAUCAGAUCAUUAGGUUGGUAUUACAAUUCAAAGAUGUGCUCCUUCAGCAUUUCAGAGACAAUAUAUAUCAUAAUUUAGUUUUCUAGUUAGGAUCACUGUGGUGAUAAUUUAUGUGAUUCAUAUAUCAUGUGACCAGUUUCUAUGACUGUUAUUAUUUGCUUAUGAUAUAGCAGUUGCAAUUCAUAAUAAGGAGCAUUUAGAACAUAAAGUGAAUAUCUGAAAAGACUGAAUAUUUGCUUGACAAUCUCUGCCCGAUGAGAAAAUACUAAAAACAGAUAAACUCAGAUACCUGAUUAUGAAAGACAUUGAGAACUAAACAAAUUUAGAGAAGAGAUCGAGUCCAAAGACUGAUCCUGGUAGUUAUUGGUGGGUGGGUAUAUAGUCAAGUAGAAGGUAAUGAAAUAACUUAUACUGAAAGUACAUCUCCAAUUAUUUUACUGAAGACUGAAAAUUAAUGCUGUAGUUAACCUCAAAGUGCUUAAUUUGGUUUAUUAGCUUGACACAUUAUAAAGGUGAAAAUACUUGGUUCUAAAUAAUUAUAAAUUACACUAAUAACAGACAAACUAAAAGAAAGUAGGCUUCAAUGGUAUGGCCAUAUAAUGAGAAGAGAUGACAGUUCCUCAGUAAAAACUGUAAUGAAUAUAUCUAUGACAUGCCAGGAAAAUCCUUUUCCCUGGCAUGUCCAGACCAGCGGCAUGGUGGUCCAAUAUCAAGAAGAAAAUGAAAGCAUGGAACUUAACUCAUAUGACAACCCAGGACAGAGCACUUGUUGCCAUUGUAUAUGGAGACCCAACCCUAAAUAGUGCUGGGAUUAAGGGUUGGAAGAAGAUAAAAAAAUAUAUAAAUUUAUUUUUCAGAUGCGACAUUGAAUAGCAUCAGUCCCCGCCCUGCGUUAGGGUUAAGUGGGCUCGCACUUAAAAAGACAUCAAGGGUACAGAAAUGGCAUUAUAUCUUCCUGAUGACCCUCUUCAGAAAUUACGUUCAACGAUGUUAACUCUAUUUCUCUUGGGGAUGUUCGUCUGGGACGUCCCGAGAAUAGAGGUCUGAUAAAUACAAGAACACAGAUGUGACACUGAUUGUGCUAUUAAAUGAUGUGCAUUAUUUACCAACUGCCCUGAAAGGCACAUUAGCUUGACAUCUGAUAGGCUUACAAAUAUAAUUAUAUAUAACUAAUUAAGCUUAUAAUUUUUUCUAAAUUUUCGAAAUGACCAGUCGCUUAUGUCGAGUUUAGAAAAACUUCGUCGUUGAGCACGUUAUUUGCAUAAAUGAAAUAGUAAGUUUGUUAUUGUAUAGGAAGAUUGGUUUUCUAGAACAACUGUAGGAUUUUUACAUGUAUUAUUAUUAUUUCUAAAUUUCAUUCUAUUAUUCUAUUAUUAACCCAUAAUAGUGGGGCAUCAUCACUGGGCAAAGUUCUCCCCCAUCUCCUUUCAAAAUAUCCUUUUUUGCGCCACUCCAAAUCAGUCUCAUUUAAAUACGUCUAGGUCAUCACGUCCUCGCUUCCUGAAUCUUUAAAAAAAUCUAAAUAAAAUUUAUGGCAGUACUUUUAGUUCUAUUCUGGACCUGUUUAAAAUAAGAUUUGAAGUUACCUUAAUGACCUUUAUUGAAAAAUUUUAUAUUAUAUGACACACAACUUAUUUCAGAAUAGACAAUUAUAAUGUUAUUAUUAUAAUAAAAUACUAAAUUAGU